AUGUUCUCGCCCCAAUCUGCAAGCCGCAUCAACAACAUCAGAACAUCCCUCAUCAACACGCAGAAGGGGAACCUCUCCGUCGCCUCCUACUUCGCCGCCAUGCACAGCUACGCCGACGAGCUAGCCGCCGCGGGCAAGGCGAUCCCCGACGAUGAACUCGCCUCCUACAUCAUCCAUGGGCUCAACACCGACUAUCAGCCCCUGGUCUCUGCCCUCGACGCUCGCGUGACCGAGGUAACCCUUGAUGAGCUCUUUGCCAUGCUAUCCAACUUCGAUCAGCGCAUGGCUCAAUUGCACGAGUCCGGCGGCGGUGGCUUCAAAUCAUCCGCCAACGUGGCUACUCACGGGCAGGGGGGCUCCCGAUCGCGUGGCCCCUCUCGAAACAAGGGCAGGUCCGGCGGUGGCAACCAUGGUGUCACGCCACCCCUCUCUGGUGGUCGCGGUCGUCGUGGACGCGGCGCUGGUGGCGGCGGCAGAAACCGCUCGGACACCCCCCCCCCCGGUGCUAGAUCUGCGGCAAGCCCCGGCACACAGCAAAGGAUUGCUGGUACCGGUAUGAGGAGGGCGACUACAACUCUCAAGAUGACAAAAAAGUCGUUGCGGCUGCCGAUGGCUCCUAUGGUGUCGACACGAACUGGUACGUCGACAGCGGAGCCAACAACCACAUCACCAACGAGCUCGAGAAAGUAA
rnacentral:rRNA from 1 species